rnacentral:rRNA from 1 species
UACGGAGGGAGCUAGCGUUAUUCGGAAUUACUGGGCGUAAAGCGCACGUAGGCGGCUUUGUAAGUUAGAGGUGAAAGCCUGGAGCUCAACUCCAGAAUUGCCUUUAAGACUGCAUCGCUUGAAUCCAGGAGAGGUGAGUGGAAUUCCGAGUGUAGAGGUGAAAUUCGUAGAUAUUCGGAAGAACACCAGUGGGGAAGGCGACUCGCUGGACUGGUAUUGACGCUGAGGUGCGAAAGCGUGGGGAGCAAACAGG